ACUCAAAUGAAUUGACGGGGGCCCGCACAAGCGGUGGAGCAUGUGGUUCAAUUCGAAGCAACGCGCAGAACCUUACCAGCCCUUGACAUGUCCCGUAUGGAUUUCAGAGAUGAGAUUCUUCAGUUCGGCUGGCGGGAACACAGGUGCUGCAUGGCUGUCGUCAGCUCGUGUCGUGAGAUGUUGGGUUAAGUCCCGCAACGAGCGCAACCCUCGGCCUUAGUUGCCAUCAUUUAGUUGGGCACUCUAAGGCGACUGCCGGUGAUAAGCCGGAGGAAGGUGGGGAUGACGUCAAGUCCUCAUGGCCCUUACGGGCUGGGCUACACACGUGCUACAAUGGCGGUGACAGAGGGAUGCGAUGGCGCAAGCCUUGGCAAAUCUCAAAAAACCGUCUCAGUUCGGAUUGGGGUCUGCAACUCGACCCCAUGAAGUUGGAAUCGCUAGUAAUCGCGGAUCAGCACGCCGCGGUGAAUACGUUCCCGGGCCUUGUACACACCGCCCGU
rnacentral:rRNA from 1 species